rnacentral:rRNA from 1 species
CCGCGGUAAUACAGAGGUCCCGAGCGUUGUUCGGAUUCACUGGGCGUAAAGGGUGCGUAGGUGGUGAGGUGUGUCGGAUGUGAAAUCUCGGAGCUCAACUCCGAAACUGCAUUGGAAACUACCUUGCUGGAGGGUUGGAGGGGGGACUGGAAUACUUGGUGUAGCAGUGAAAUGCGUAGAUAUCAAGUGGAACACCAGUGGCGAAGGCGAGUCCCUGGACAACUCCUGACACUGAGGCACGAAAGCUAGGGGAGCAAACAG